CUCCAUGCAGGGAGCCUGAUGUGGGACUUGAUCCUAGGUCUCCAGGAUCAGGCCUUGGGCCAAAGGCAGCGCUAAACCAUUGAGCCACCCGGGCUGCCCUUAAAUUCCUUUUCUACCCCCAAGUAGCCAGAGAUAGUUUCCCUUGGAACUCCGAGUCCUGAUUUUAGGAUGAGUCAGUCCAUCUGAAGAACUCUGGGAGAAGAGGCGGGUUACACUUAUCGAAGAUUGCUGACUCAGAGAUUGCAUGGUUCUGGGGCAGAGAAGAAGGGAGCAGAUUGCAAGUAGCUUUUUAAUACGCUACCUCGUCCAUUUGAGCAAGGAGGACCGAUGGCUAUCACCCAUCCAUCAAUGAACUCACUCCUCAGUUGGGGCAGGAGCAAGAGUGUUAUAGUGAUCGUGGCUCCUCUACAGGGAAACACGGUGAGGAGAGCAUAAAUGUUCCUGGCCCCUGACAUUAUCACACGAUUCCAGUCAAAAGAGAACUACCUCUCAUAGUAGUAAUAGGAUCUGGUCCCCAGUUUCCAGACGUGGGAUCUGAGCUCCAGGAUGAUGUGAAUUCCCCAAACCACCCAGCUUUGAACUCGGACAUUCUACAGCUGAAAGCCAUCAACUGUCAACCACGAUGAGCAAAUGCCUAUUCGCCUUCAAAACGAAGAACUUUUGACAAUUACCAUGCAUCUUCAUUCCUUCGGCAUGCUUUCAGAAUUAUUGCUUUCAUUACGGAGCAGAACAUCGGCCACUGCAUCACAUUCCAGAAAACAGCACACCAUUAUUUGUGAUAAGGAGUGAACAGCAGAUAAGAACAAACAUCCGUAGAUUCAGGAGAGAAGUCUUUGUGGGUUGGAGCGAACACUCGAAUCGGACACAUAUCAUGUGCAAGCCACGGAAGCAGCAAGCCACCCCUCCACCUUGGGACAAAUGUUGACUGGGUGGAUUUUUGUUUGUUUGUUUGAAACCAAUCACUUGAUAGGUUCUCAUAAGCUAUGCGAGAGAUUGCUAUCAUGGAUAAUGAAAACAAAAUGACAGGCAGAUAAAUUUAGUUGCUGUUUAAGAAAUCUUGUAAGGUAUUCUCCAUAGUAUAAAGAUAAGGAAAUCGCAUAAUUGAAAGAGCUGAAAACAGCCUCAGCACUAGAGCAUAUAAGGAGAGCAAGGAAAUCAAUUGUGGAAAGCAGGAGAGAGUUCAGAUAAAGCCAAGCUCCCCUCGAUGAAUAAAAUUGCCCACUAUGGAAGCCAGAUGAUCUAGCCCACUGGUUUUCAACCCAGCCUGCACCAUAAAAUCCCCUGGACACCUUUAAAAGCUCCUGAUGCCCAGCCUAUCCUUGAGACCAAUAGGAUCUGAACGUCUGGGGUGGGACUAGGAAGCUGCAUGUUUUAAAGCUCCAGAAGGGAUUGCAAUGGGCAGCUAUGUUUGAGACCCACUGGUAAGUACUCCCUUCCCCUUCCCCCUGUGGUACAGGUGUGUGGCAUCUUGGCUCAGGUCACACGAGGCUCUGCUGUGCUUAAACCUCGAGCACGCAGAAAUUCUCUCAUUUAGAAAGAAUCUGUGGCAAAGGCAUCGGGCAGUGUUGCAAAGCCAGUGGCAGCGACGUCUAGUAGCGGCAGUGGCCAUGGUACUUGGGGGGUAGUGUCUUAAUUAGAAUGUCUCUCUGGAUUCUCGGACACAACUGCCUUUGGUUCCUGCUCAGUUUUCUAGCUCCUUUCUCUAGAUUUUCCCUCAGUUUGGAAGGGGGGACUUCCUAAUUUCCUGCCAAGAAAUUGCAGGUUUCCUAAGUUAACCAGAUUUGGUUUCUGUUGCUCUCAGCCAACAUUUAUUGAAUGUUUUUCUUGAAAUUGACAGAUUGAAAAAAAUACUCAUUUUAGCUUCAUCCUAAGUAACGAUACCCAUGAAAUCCCUUAAGAUGUGUU